rnacentral:misc_RNA from 1 species
GAUGAAGAACGUAGCGAAAUGCGAUACGUAAUCUGAAUUGCAGAAUUCAGUGAAUCAUCGAGUCUUUGAACGCACAUUGCGCCCCCUGGUAUUCCGGGGGGCAUGCCUGUCCGAGCGUCAUUGCUGCCCUCAAGCACGGCUUGUGUGUUGGGCCUCCGCCCCCCGGCUCCCGGGGGGCGGGCCCGAAAGGCAGCGGCGGCACCGCGUCCGGUCCUCGAGCGUAUGGGGCUUCGUCACCCGCUCCGUAGGCCCGGCCGGCGCCCGCCGGCGACCCCCCUCAAUCUUUCCAGGUUGACCUCGGAUCAGGUAGGGAUACCCGCUGAACUUAAGCAUAUCAAUAAGCGGAGGA